UUUUCUUUGAUGAUUUCUAUGUUAAUAUUCAUCUGAAGGGGUUGAUGCUCACGUAGUGUCUUGUUUGACAUUUGCUUACCGCCACCGAAGAAGGCUCCAUAAUCAAGAGUUUCUACAAAGAAUUAUUUGUAAACUGAAGGACGAAGCCAAGGAAACCCAUCAAGUGGCCAGCCCUGUGAGUAGUGAGUCUCAACUCAAGGAUGCACAUCAGGAGGUCCAGAAAUGCAUGUACCAUCUGGAGGAGCUGGAGAAACCACUCAGGCAUGAUCAAAUAUCGAUCCAGUUUCUUGAUCCAAUUUGAACGGUUGACUUGAGAAGGCCAUUGAAUUAAUUAGUCACAAUCCAUGUUUUGGUAAUGUUAACCUGGUUUAAUUAAUGACUAUCGCUGUAGAAUAUAUGAAGGUAAUCCUUCAGCAAUCACCACUGCGAGUGAUGCCGAGUACCAGGAGCAGAUCCUCGAGGAAGCCUUGCGACUUGUCCAGAUUCGGAAGCAAAUUUUGGAGGAAAAGUGCCGACCCACAAGUUCCCAGAGAUCAAUGGCAACCAGGACUGGGAGUGUUACCACCAGUUUCAGCACCUCACGAGCAAAUUGAAAAUCUUGAUCAUGGCAUGAGCCCCACAAAUGCCAUAGAGCAUCACAGCAGCACCGAUCAUGCUGAGUUCGGACAACUUGUCGAUGCAGCUUACUCUUCCUGGACCAAUGGAUUUUGUCCAGCAGGUAUCGCAAAAGAUUGACUUAUUCUGAAUCUGUGUUCAUUCGACUUUGGCUUUAUCCUAAGAGAAAGCCUCUUUAAGAAAGAAAACGGCUAGGAUAAAAGUAAUGUCUCAGUUGGUUCACCUUAGAUUGGAUUGCUCGAUCGAGAAAUGAAAAUCUUAGUAGUAGAACUUUCAUGUUUUAGGUGUUCACAUGUAAAGUUUAACCCAAACGCGAGAAUACCGAGUAAUAGGAUUAUCAUUUCUAUUGUGUAAA